AUUGAACGCUGGCGGCAGGCCUAACACAUGCAAGUCUAGCGAGCGGCGGACGGGUGAGUAUUGUAUGGGGACUGCCCGAUAGAGGGGGAUAACUACUGGAAACGGUAGCUAAUACCGCAUACUAUCGGAUAACCCAUAUGGGAUUAGCUAGUAGGUGGGGGAAUGGCUCACCUAGGCGACGAUCACUAGCUGGGCUGAGAGGAUGAUCAGCCACACUGGGACUGAGACACGGCCCAGAACCCUACGGAGGCAGCAGUUGGGAAUAUUGCGCAAUGGGCGCAAGCCCUAUGCAGCCAUGCCGCGUGUAUGAAUAAGGCCCUAGGGUUGUAAAGGACUUUCAGUCGGGAGGCGUUAACGACAGAAGAAGCACCGGCUAACUCCGUGCCAGCAGCCGCGGUAAUUC
rnacentral:rRNA from 1 species